rnacentral:lncRNA from 1 species
AAGCUAUCUACGAAAAAUGCUGUUAGAGCUCUACAGGGCAUUAGCCUACGAAGUAGAGAGUGAAAUUAUCAGAAUCAUCCAAGAUUGAACCAUUUACCUCACUUAGUUGCCCAAAUAUUAAAAGACUGACGAGAGUGGCAACAAUAAGCUUCUGCCUCCAGAACACAGGUUCUUGUUUGUCAAAAAAAGUUUGGCCUUAAAAGUAUCAUCAGUUAUGAUGAUGCAAGCACUGGACUGCAAAAAGUACUCAGAUCAUUAUCAAAGAGAAACAUGCUAUAAAACUAGAAUGAGAAGAACAUGAAGAACUAUCCUUAUAUAGGUUAGUUAACUGUCAGACAAAGAAACAAUUCAUCAAUCUCAUUUCAAAACUGUAUCUUGAAGUACAUUAGUUACAAAUCAGAUCUUUAGAAGGGGAAAUGAUAACAAUGGGUCAAAUUCAAGAUGAGCCAAACUGCACCAUGAAGUAAGCCAACAAAAGACCUACAAGAAGGUAACAGAAGUUGUAUACCCCAAAUACCAAGAAAGGCGGAGCAGAAGUUUAGAACAAAUUCAUAGAUAGAAUUCUAAAAAUCAUGUAAAGACAUUAGAAUGCAGAGAACAUGAUCUCUUCUCUAAUCAAAGAUUAAGUAGCAUUUAUGUGAUUCCCCAGUUCAUGCAUUCAUGGGAGUGAAAAAUAAAAACAAUGUCAUUUUUGCAACAAAUAUAUAGCAAAAUUCAUGAUAAUGUCAUGCAGUUCUAAGGAACAAAGUAUAUAUCACCAUACCCAUAAAUAUAUGAUUUUUAAUUAUUUGAUAAAUAAUCAAGACCCAUAUAUAUGAUAUGUAAAACUCUUAAGGCAUGACAUUUCACCAAUAGUUAAUAAAACAAAGUAGCACUAAACAUGAAUAACUAGGUAACUUUGAAGCAAAGAGCGUACCUGUUAAUAUUGCUUAUUUUACUCUAAUUUCUCCAAGAUUUUCCCUUCCAGUCUGGA